CUUCGGCUCAAUCGGUCCAAUCACAUCCAUUCCCCAAGCCACAAACGGCCAUAGAGUGUCCAUUGCAUGCAACUCAGUAGGAGGAGAAUGUAUCAGAUCACCGUGUACCUGAUAUUGAUGACACUUUCGAACAAAUCGAAUAGAAUCCCUCUCCAUAGUAAGCCAUUAAUAACCUACUCGAAGAAUCUUCUUUGACAAGACAUGACAGUUCAUAU
rnacentral:lncRNA from 1 species